GAAGAAUGGAAACCUAUUUCACUCUGCAGCGAUCCAGUCUGCCUCCCUCAGCUCAGAAAUGUGCUGUGCUCAGCGUUUCUGUGUGGAUGCUGCAUCCCUGGUAGAAAGAGCAGGGGCGGCUGCUGCAGCAGCAACAGCAGCCACAGCACGGGCUCCAGGGGGUGGGAGUCUGAGUGCACCAUUUCUACCUCUCUGGCGACAGAAGCACCAAGUCACAAGGAGGGUGAGAAUGUAGUCCAGAGGCUGCUGGGCUAUAUCACUCUGAAGGUGGUUCCUGCACCCUGGGUGUGGACAGGGACUCUGCAAAUCACCUCCCCAUGUUGCAGAAGAAGAUAGGAAAUGCAAGUAUCCUCCAACAAGCCAUGAGCACAGCAGCACAGCUUCCAUCUUCUCACGGUGAAGGACAGCACGAUGGCUGUUCUUCAUGGUUAACACUAGAGCAUCAGCUGAGGGAGGUCAGAACCCUGCUUCUCUGAACAGAGAACCACAAAUGUCACUCACACAUGCCACGGCUUGGCAAAUAAUAUAUUUCUUUCCAAUCUCCUGUCCCUUCCGUUUACCCAUCCUCGUGCAUGUGCUAAGCUGAAGGGCACCUCUGGGUCUUCCUUCCUUCCUUCCUUUGGUGGGACCAGCAGGAGGCAUGCCAUUCACAAUGAAUUCAAAAGUGCUCCUCUUUUGAUUUCUGUUGUCUUUAUUUUAACCUCAGGAAGGGGGAGAGAUUUAACUCAGUCUUCACCCCAGGCUACGCUAAUACUUAGGUCAUGUCUGAGCUCUCAGGGGGAAACCCUGCUUUAUCCCAUCCGAGGGGCAAUGGUGUCUUUUCAGUGGAGCUGUACAGCUGUCCAGCCAUAUGGGCCCCAAACAGCCCAGUCAAUCCGAUUUGGGGAGGUUUUACAAUGUAAUUUCUUAACGUGUUAGUAUUUGGGGUGAGUUUGAUCAGGCGCAUAGACAGCCCUUAAGCCCAAGGGUUUAGGUUUUAAGAAGCCAUUUCAAAUGGCCCAGCAUCCACUCAGACUGGUUAAAAACAGAUAUGAAAUCUGUGGCUGGGGGAGGGACAGGGACUCCUGACCCCCUGGUUGGAGAAAGUCCCAGGGGUAUGCUCUAACUAUUAAUUCAGCAUCAGCUGCCGUAUCUACCCUCCCCCCCACCUUUUUUUUUCCUCUCUCUCUCUCCUUUUCUUCUUUAACCCUGGGCUCAUCAUUUAAGGCGUUCCCACUCGGGCCUGCAGAGCCCUGUUACAAAACCAGGUCUCCUCUCCCCACCCCCACCCCCACCCCACCCCCGCGCGCGCGCGCGCGCGCUCGCCCCACACCGCAAGAUGAGAGAGCCAGUAUCCCGCAAGGCCGCAACGGCGCAGGAGAACUGCAUUGAAACCGUCCCCGAGCUAAACAAAACCAGGCCCGUCUGACAGUCUAGUCAAGGACGGCAGCCCCCGCAUCCCGUCGUCGCUUUCCAGUCAAAACCGAGUGGACUUCGAGACUCAGCCCCGUCCCUCCCUGGUGCAGGGGUUCAAAACUGCCUGCCAAGGAACUCUUCAUAGACAGAACAUAGAACAGCCCUAAAUCUAAAAACCUUUUAUCAAAAUGGUGGAAGGCAAGCCAAGUUACCCCUCCUGGAUCUUGUCCCCCCCCAGAGAACUACAAUUUGGUGGCGACUAUCAUCAGAGCGGUCGGUGUUUCCGGAAAGAUAGCCUGGUGGUGGCCUUUGCCAACCAACUAUUUUUUUUUUUUUAAUUAAAAUCGGUCACAAUCUAGUUCUUGCAACCCCUCCCAAGGUUCUCAGUUUUAGAAAUUUACCAAAAAUAAAAAUAAAAAAAAAAAAAAUGCUUCUUUCCUAAGCUUCUA